AUGCAAGUCGAACGGGACUUAAUCUGUAGCAAUACAGGUUAAGUUUAGUGGCGCCNCUUUANGCGUAACACGUGGGCAAUCUGCCGAGAAGUGGGGGAUNNCUCGCCGAAAGGCGAAUUAAUACCGCAUAUGAUCAGGGACGACAUCUUCCCAACAUCAAAGCCGGGGUAACCUGGCGCUUUUUGAGGAGCCCGCGGCCUAUCAGCUAGUUGGUGAGGUAACGGCUCACCAAGGCUAUGACGGGUAGCUGGUCUGAGAGGACGACCAGUCACACUGGAACUGAGACACGGUCCAGACACCUACGGGUGGCAGCAGUCGAGAAUUUUUCUCAAUGGGGGCAACCCUGAAGGAGCGACGCCGCGUGGAGGAUGAAGGCUUUCGGGUUGUAAACUCCUGUCAUUUGAGAACAAGUGUAGCUAAGUAACUACUGGCUACUUGAUAGUAUCAGAAGAGGAAGAGACGGCUAACUCUGUGCCAGCAGCCGCGGUAAUACAGAGGUCUCAAGCGUUGUUCGGAUUCAUUGGGCGUAAAGGGUGCGUAGGUGGCGGGGUAAGUCAGGUGUGAAAUUUCGGAGCUUAACUCCGAAACUGCAUUUGAUACUGCCUUGCUUGAGGACUGGAGAGGAGACUGGAAUUUACGGUGUAGCAGUGAAAUGCGUAGAGAUCGUAAGGAAGACCAGUGGCGAAAGGCGGGUCUCUGGACAGUUCCUGACACUGAGGCACGAAGGCCAGGGGAAGCGAACGGG
rnacentral:rRNA from 1 species